UCUAACGUGGCAGAUAAGUGCGGUGGAUUUAAGCUCCAUAAAUAAAGUUUAUAACUUUCAUUAGAA
rnacentral:tRNA from 1 species